rnacentral:rRNA from 1 species
CCUACGGGUGGCUGCAGUCGAGAAUCAUUCACAAUGGGGGAAACCCUGAUGGUGCGACGCCGCGUGGGGGAAUGAAGGUCUUCGGAUUGUAAACCCCUGUCAUGUGGGAGCAAAUUAAAAAGAUAGUACCACAAGAGGAAGAGACGGCUAACUCUGUGCCAGCAGCCGCGGUAAUACAGAGGUCUCAAGCGUUGUUCGGAAUCACUGGGCGUAAAGCGUGCGUAGGCUGUUUCGUAAGUCGUGUGUGAAAGGCGCGGGCUCAACCCGCGGACGGCACAUGAUACUGCGAGACUAGAGUAAUGGAGGGGGAACCGGAAUUCUCGGUGUAGCAGUGAAAUGCGUAGAUAUCGAGAGGAACACUCGUGGCGAAGGCGGGUUCCUGGACAUUAACUGACGCUGAGGCACGAAGGCCAGGGGAGCGAGAGGGAUUAGAUACCCGGGUAGUC